UGACCAGUAGGCAAGUGGUUAAGCCGCGAGCUUUAAGCCCGAUGUAGGCCCGAUCUCAGCCCUUCGUUAACUCUCGUUUGUCGCGGGUUCGAAUCCCGUCUGGUCAA
rnacentral:tRNA from 2 species